CUUUACCUAUUGAUUUUUGAGAAACCUUGUAUUAUAAUAAUCAGUACUGAAUUAAGUUUUACGCUCAAUUCGGUCAUGCGAUGAGUGGGUCCUGUGCGACGGGGCGCCGUGAACCAUGUCAGGCGGGGAACCGAGCAGCAUUAAGCGGGCCGUCCUGUGCGACACAGUCUGCCUGCUCAUCGUGUGACCGAGUUGAGCGUAAAAUCGCUAAAG
rnacentral:SRP_RNA from 1 species